rnacentral:rRNA from 1 species
GUCUUUUUGUUUAAAAUUUAAAGUCUAGCCUGCUCAAUGAAAUUUUAAAUAGCCGCGGUAUUUUAACCGUGCAAAGGUAGCAUAAUCAUUAGUUUUUUAAUUGAAAGCUGGAAUGAAGGGUUGAAUGAGAAAAUAUCUGUCUCUAUUUAAAUUUAUUAGAAAUUUAUUUUUAAGUCAAAAAGCUUAAAUAUUCUUAGAAGACGAGAAGACCCUAUAGAGUUUCAUUUUAAUUUUCUUAUAAAAUUUUUGGUAUUCAUAAUUUAUUUUUAAUUUAAAAUUUAAUUGGGGUGAUUAUAAAAUUUAUUUAACUUUUAUUUAAUUUUUACAUAAAUUUAUGAAUAAAUGAUCCUUUGUUUAAGAUUAAAAGAAGAAAUUACCUUAGGGAUAACAGCGUAAUUUUUUUAAAGAGUUCUAAUCGAAAAAAAAGAUUGCGACCUCGAUGUUGGAUUAAAAUUUAAUUUUGGUGUAGAAGCUGAAUUGUUUAGGUCUGUUCGACCUUUGAAAUUUUACAUGAUCUGAGUUUAAACCGGUGUGAGCCAGGUUGGUUUCUAUCUCUAUUUAGUUAAGAUAUUUUAGUACGAAAGGACCAAUUAUCUAAUUUAAAAUUUUUCACUUGAAUAAAAUU